AAUAAACGCAACCAUAAAUUUCUGUGCCCAAUUUUAAUUGUCCGUUUUAUUUAAAUUUUUAUGAGUAUUAUUAUUAUUAUUAUUAUUAUUAUUAUUAUUAUUAUUAUAAAAUAUAAAUAGUACUUUAUGCGUGACUUAUUUUUCUUAGUUUUUUCAAAAAAAAAUUAAAUAAGGCGAACGAUUAAAGUUUUUUUUAGAUAAUGACGAUUAAAGUUGGACACGAAAACUUACGGCUGCACUUAUU
rnacentral:pre_miRNA from 1 species